rnacentral:rRNA from 1 species
AACGCUGGCGGCGUGCCUAACACAUGCAAGUCGCACGAGAAAGCGGGGGCAACCCCGUGAGUAAAGUGGCGAACGGGUGAGUAACACGUGACUAACCUGCCUUCGAGCGGGGGAUAACCCCGGGAAACCGGGGCUAAUACCGCAUAACAUCGCGAGGUGAAAUUCCUUGUGAUCAAAGCAGCAAUGGGCUUGAAGAGGGGGUCGCGGCUGAUUAGCUAGUUGGUGAGGUAACGGCUCACCAAGGCGAUGAUCAGUAGCCGGCCUGAGAGGGCGCACGGCCACACUGGAACUGAAACACGGUCCAGACUCCUACGGGAGGCAGCAGUGGGGAAUUUUGCGCAAUGGGGGAAACCCUGACGCAGCAACGCCGCGUGGAGGAUGAAGUCCCUUGGGACGUAAACUCCUUUCGAUCGGGACGAUAAU